CGCACUAAGUUCAGCAUCAGUAUGGU
rnacentral:piRNA from 1 species